GACGAACGCUGGCGGCGUGCCUAACACAUGCAAGUCUAAGGAGAAAAGGGUAGCAAUAUCCUGAGUAAACUGGCGCACGGGUGAGUAACACGUAGGCAAUCUGCCUUUAGGACGGGAACAACCACGCGAAAGCGUGGCUAAUACCCGAUAAUGCAGCGGCACCGCAUGGUGACAGUUGUUAAAUCCCGCAAGGGGCCUAUUGAUGAGCCUGCGUCCCAUUAGGAGUUGGUGAGGUAACGGCUCACCAAGCCUGCGAUGGGUAGCUGGUCUGAGAGGAUGAUCAGCCACACUGGAACUGAGACACGGUCCAGACUCCUACGGGAGGCAGCAGUGAGGAAUAUUGCGCAAUGGCCGAAAGGCUGACGCAGCGACGCCGCGUGAAGGAUGAGUCCGUUA
rnacentral:rRNA from 1 species